UCAAUAAAAAUAAAAUCUUUUUUGAAAAGAGAAAGAUGAUUUCUAGCUAAAGCAAUCAGUGACUUCUAAUUAUUUUAUCAUUAGAGAGCUGCUGUGGCCCAGCAUUGGUGUUCUUGAAGUAGCCUCGUACUCCCACAGAAAGGACACUGGUCCCUCCGCGUGCUUGCGUGCAUCUUUCCAAAGGCGCUUGGGGUAAGUAAGAGGGUGUGGAGCUUUAAAAGGAAACCUGGAUCUGCUGGUUCUCCGAGCACUCCGGUGCUCAGAGGAAACCGGUGCGUUUCCGUUUGCUUUAACAAUGCACGAGAGAAUGCAGCUGUAUUUUGUGGUAUCUAAUUAAAUUAUAAGGAAGAGCUUAGGUGUUAAAAAAGGGCAAAAGUCUCCCCACACCCCCUUCUCCUAGUGCAGGCUCCAGCUUCCCCAAGUUACCAGGUCACCCUGUCUGGUGGUGUUCUAAAGCACUGGUCCCACGUCACUAUGAGAUGUGAUUGUGGCAUCACGUGAUUCUUCGUGCGUCAGGAGGCGAGGUGAGAUUUGAGCAUCCUCGAAAGAACGAGCUGUGAAUAUCAAAGGGUUUUGGCGCAGCGCCAUCCACAGCGCCUACAAUCAUUUAUCUCGGAUGAAGCCAAUUUAUUUAGAAGCAGAUGUCACCAACUGAUUAAAAACUUCUCAGCAGCGUAAAUUCCAUUUGCUGCUAAGAUGAAAAUUAAUAGACACAAGGCAGACGACAUUUUUACGCACGUGACAGCUCAUCAGAGACACUCAGCACGUGCCCAGACAUCCACAUUGGCCAAGGUGAACUCACUGCUCGCCCAUGCAGCCUCCCUGAGUAAAUAAAUGCAUGUGACUCCCUCCACCUUCUUCUACUAUGUCCCUUAAUCCUAAAGCUGUCAGGAUUCUUUGUCACUGUCGUACUUACAACCUAUGUUGAAUUUCAGAAAGCAAAUAUUUAGGAGAACUCACCCCAAGGUCCAUUGGACCAUAGAAUAUUUUUUUAAUUCCAGGAGGAAAUGAUAAAGAUUUUUUUCCCCUCUUGAAUCAUUCAUGGCUUUAAGGAAUAAAAAAAGACCAUAGAGGAGCUGGAGAGAUGGCUCAGCAGUUAAGAGCACUGACUAGGCUUCCAGAGGUCCUGAGUUCAAAUCCCAGCAAUCACAUGGUGGCUCACAAGCAUCUGUAAUGGGAUCUGAUGCCCUCUUCUGAUGUGUCUGAAGACAGCUACAGUGUACUCAUAUUAAUGAAUAAAUAAAUCUUACAAAAACAAAAAACCCAUGGACAAAACAAACCGUUUCAGAGCUGGGAAUUGUGGGCAGGGAAUGGGACUGAGAAGAAGCAAACCUGCUCACAAGCUACAGGAACUGAAGACAAGCCAACAGAGCUGCCAGGGAUCAGCCCAGGAUGGCUGAGCAAGAGGCAGAGACCAGAAGUUCAGAAUGGCAGGAAAGGCGCAGAGCAGAGGAGAGGGACAGAGGACCUGUGAGUGGAUCGAUUGAUCACCACAUGCCUCCGUCACACUGCUGCUCACCUCCACACAGUGAAGGCUUCUGUCAGACGGAUGACAAGGCAAAAGGUAACCCUGACUGGAGACUUAGCUGGGCAAAGACAUUGUUUUACUUUCUCUUACUUAUCUUAAAAUGAUUACAUUUUAUUUAUU